UAUCCGGAAUUAUUGGGCGUAAAGGGCUCGUAGGCGGUUCGUCGCGUCCGGUGUGAAAGUCCAUCGCUUAACGGUGGAUCCGCGCCGGGUACGGGCGGGCUUGAGUGCGGUAGGGGAGACUGGAAUUCCCGGUGUAACGGUGGAAUGUGUAGAUAUCGGGAAGAACACCAAUGGCGAAGGCAGGUCUCUGGGCCGUUACUGACGCUGAGGAGCGAAAGCGUGGGGAGCGAACAGGAUUAGAUACCCUGGUAGUCCACGCCGUAAACGGUGGAUGCUGGAUGUGGGGCCCGUUCCACGGGUUCCGUGUCGGAGCUAACGCGUUAAGCAUCCCGCCUGGGGAGUACGGCCGCAAGGCUAAAACUCAAAGAAAUUGACGGGGGCCCGCACAAGCGGCGGAGCAUGCGGAUUAAUUCGAUGCAACGCGAAGAACCUUACCUGGGCUUGACAUGUUCCCGACGGUCGUAAAUCGGCUUCCCUUCGGGGCGGGUUCACAGGUGGUGCAUGGUCUCGUCAGCUCUGUC
rnacentral:rRNA from 1 species